UUUGAACGCUGGCGGCAGGCUUAACACAUGCAAGUCGAGCGGAGAUGAGGUGCUCGCACCUUAUCUUAGCGGCGGACGGGUGAGUAAUGCUUAGGAAUCUGCCUAUUAGUGGGGGACAACAUUCCGAAAGGAAUGCUAAUACCGCAUACGUCCUACGGGAGAAAGCAGGGGAUCUUCGGACCUUGCGCUAAUAGAUGAGCCUAAGUCGGAUUCGCUAGUUGGUGGGGUAAAGGCCUACCAAGGCGACGAUCUGUAGCGGGUCUGAGAGGAUGAUGCGCCACACUGGGACUGAGACACGGGCCAGACUCCUACGGGAGGCAGCAGUGGGGAAUAUUGGACAAUGGGGGGAACCCUGAUCCAGCCAUGCCGCGUGUGUGAAGAAGGCCUUAUGGUUGUAAAGCACUUUAAGCGAGGAGGAGGCUCUUUUGGUUAAUACCCAAGAUGAGUGGACGUUACUCGCAGAAUAAGCACCGGCUAACUCUGUGCCAGCCGCCGCGGUAA
rnacentral:rRNA from 1 species